rnacentral:RNase_P_RNA from 1 species
CAGGAUUGCCGGGUAAUCGCUCUCGCCUGGUUUUACCGGUGAGAGAGGAAAGUCCGAACACCGACGGACACCGCGCCCCGGGAAAUCCGGGGACUUUCACUUUGUGAAAGAUGGAUAGUGCCACAGAAAACAGACCGCUCCGGAUUUGUCCGGAGUAAGGGUGAAAAGGUGAGGUAAGAGCUCACCGCCUGUUCUGGUAACAGAACGGGGCAGGGUAAACCCCGCGGGGUGCAAGGUCAAGCAUGGCAGUGUGCCGUCCGUCACAACACUGCCGGGUAGACUGCAAGACCUCAUCAGCAAUGGUGAGGCCAGACAAAUGAUUACCGGUCUGCAUCCGCCUGCGGCUGCAGAUCACAGAAUUCGGCUUACAGGCAAUCCUGUCGU